GCAAGAAAGCUCCAAUGAGGAACAGCCAUACCAAGUUCCUGUAGAGGCCACCAGGUCCGAAGAGCCUUUUUGGUCCAAUGAGGCCCCAGAUUACAGAAGCAUCGAAAGUAACUCGGUACUUAGGACAGGUCCAAGGACUGUUGGAAUCUUGCGAAUCAACAUCACAGAUAUUUUCAAUGUUCUCCAACAUCCACCACGCAACUGCAAGAUUGACUGUACCGGCAACUAAAGUUCCCACAAGCUGAGGAAAACACAA
rnacentral:lncRNA from 1 species